rnacentral:rRNA from 1 species
CACUUGGAGGAUGUAUAGCGAAAGCUAGUUGCAUUAAAUUCGAUUAAUUCGAAGUUAUUGCAGCAUCGACUAUGUCGAAUAAAGUUCUAGGUAGAGUUAUGAUAAUGACAUUUUCUAUCUAUGUGUCUUGACCAAAUCACGUGCCAGCAGUCGCGGUAAUACGUGGAAGACUAGUGUUAUUCAUCUUUAAUAGGUUUAAAGGGUACUUAGACGGUAUUUUUAGCCCAAAUAAAAACAAAGGGUACUAAUUAUACUAGAGUUUUAUGAGAGGGGGGUGCGUACGAAUGGUGUAGAGAUGAAAUUCUGUCAUACCAUUAUGACAGGCGACGGCGAAAGCAACCUUUAGUUAAAAACUGACGUUAAAGGACGAAGGCUAUGUGGCACCAACAGGAUUAGAUACCCAAGCAGUCUAAGCAGACAAUUAUGAAUGCCAUAGAUAAGAAACCCAUGGAUAAAGAAGAAAACAUGUACUUUUCAGAAUGCCCUUUUUGGGCAUUGGUUUAUUAAAAAAAAAUAAACUUCUCCUCUUCACUUCUUCAUUUCUUGAAUAAAGAGAGAAGUCGAGAUGAAAAGAAUGGCUCGUAAUCUUAUCUAUCAUCAUCAUCUUUCAGAUGAUGAUGAAUACAUUUCUUUUAGACAGCGACUAUGUCGAAGUUAACAAAAAAAAGAAAUAAAGGAUGUAUUUUUGUCUAUAAAUGAAAGUGUAAGCAUUCCACCUCAAGAGUAAAGUGGCAACGCACAAACUGAAAUCAUUAGACCGUUUCUGAAACCAGUAGUGAAGUAUGUUGUUUAAUUUGAUGGGUCCGCAAAAACCUUACCACAAUUUGUAUAUUAUUAGCUUAAUACAAGAGUUGCACGGCUGUCUUCAGUUAAUGUCGUGAGAUUUGGUUAGUUCCAUAAAAUAACGUAAACCUUACUUUAUUUAUAUUAUAAAGUAGUUUCACCCACUAU